rnacentral:rRNA from 1 species
GAACGGGUGAGUAAUGCAUCGGAACGUGCCCAGUCGUGGGGGAUAACUGCUCGAAAGAGCAGCUAAUACCGCAUACGACCUGAGGGUGAAAGCGGGGGACCGUAAGGCCUCGCGCGAUUGGAGCGGCCGAUGUCAGAUUAGCUAGUUGGUGGGGUAAAGGCCUACCAAGGCAACGAUCUGUAGUUGGUCUGAGAGGACGACCAGCCACACUGGGACUGAGACACGGCCCAGACUCCUACGGGAGGCAGCAGUGGGGAAUUUUGGACAAUGGGCGCAAGCCUGAUCCAGCAAUGCCGCGUGCAGGAAGAAGGCCUUCGGGUUGUAAACUGCUUUUGUCAGGGAAGAAAUCUUCUGGGCUAAUACCCCGGGAGGAUGACGGUACCUGAAGAAUAAGCACCGGCUAACUAC